rnacentral:rRNA from 1 species
UACGGAGGGUGCAAGCGUUAUCCGGAUUUACUGGGUUUAAAGGGUGCGUAGGAGGGCAGGUAAGUCAGUGGUGAAAUCUCCGAGCUUAACUUGGAAACUGCCGUUGAUACUAUCUGUCUUGAAUAUUGUGGAGGUGAGCGGAAUAUGUCAUGUAGCGGUGAAAUGCUUAGAUAUGACAUAGAACACCAAUUGCGAAGGCAGCUCGCUACACAUAUAUUGACUCUGAGGCACGAAAGCGUGGGGAUCAAACAGG